CACUAAUGUCUCAGAUGCAGUUCAUCACCCUCUGAGACAUCAGAUGUUCUUCAUAGCAAGAACAGGAUGCAGUGAUCUUGCUCUGAAUGUUUGUCUCCUGGCCACUAUUGUGCACUUCUAACAAGGGCCUGUGUUUCAGGUGGACGAUCAAGGGUUAAUUCUGGCAGAGAGGGGCUGUUGUGACCAGAGGCCUGCAUAGCUCAUGCAGCUACAGGAGUGAGUCAUAUCUUCUCUGUUCAGCUGCACAGCCUGCUGCAUAGUCAAGAUUUUAUAAGCAUGAAGCAAAUGAAAUGAGGCGCAUACCUGAAAACCAGGAUCUGACAAAAACAAAUCUAUAGAAGAAUAACUAUACAUUUUUAAAGCCAAGG